UAGGGAAUAUUGGACAAUGGGCGAAAGCCUGAUCCAGCAAUGCCGCGUGCAGGAAGAAGGCGUUAUGCGUUGUAAACUGCUUUUUGCCAGGGGAUAAAAAGACCGUGCGCGGUUAAUUGAAGGUACCUGGUGAAUAAGCCACGGCUAACUACGUGCCAGCAGCCGCGGUAAUACGUAGGUGGCAAGCGUUGUCCGGAUUUAUUGGGUUUAAAGGGUGCGUAGGUGGCCCUGUAAGUCAGUGGUGAAAUAUCUCAGCUUAACUGAGAGGGUGCCAUUGAUACUGCAGGGCUUGAGUACAGAUGAGGUAGGCGGAAUUGACGGUGUAGCGGUGAAAUGCAUAGAUAUCGUCAAGAACACCGAUAGCGAAGGCAGCUUACCAAGCUGUAACUGACACUGAGGCACGAAAGUGUGGGGAUCAAACAGGAUUAGAUACCCCCGUAGUCCCUGAG
rnacentral:rRNA from 1 species